rnacentral:rRNA from 1 species
UACGUAGGGUGCGAGCGUUAAUCGGAAUUACUGGGCGUAAAGCGUGCGCAGGCGGCUUGCCAAGUCAGAUGUGAAAGCCCCGGGCUCAACCCGGGAAUGGCGUUUGAAACUGGCAGGCUAGAGUUUGGCAGAGGGGGGUGGAAUUCCACGUGUAGCAGUGAAAUGCGUAGAUAUUGGGAAGAACACCGGUGGCGAAGGCGGCGACCUGGUCCGACACUGACGCUGAGGCGCGAAAGCGUGGGGAGCAAACAGG